rnacentral:rRNA from 1 species
AUGGGCCUCGACGUGCCGCCGAGGUGCCGGUACCAGAGGCUGAGCGCCGAGCAAGGCGGCGACGGGGAGAGGCCGGCGGCGGCUUCGGCUACCAGGUGGACGAGGGCGAGGCGGCCGCUGCGGCUGCGGAGGAGGGCGCGGAAGAAGGUGGCGCCGCGUCCGGGCGGCGGCAGGAGGCUGAGGCUGAUGCGGGUGGUGCUCGCCCUGCUGCCGGCGCGGCGGGCGGCCGCCCUGCUCGCGGAGCUCGUGGGGCGGAUCGCCUGCGCGGCGGAGUGCCCCGCCAUCGUCUUCUCCUCGCAGUGGGGGCUCCCCGCGCUGUCCCACUCCGCCAGCGGCGGCGCCAGCCGGACAGCCAGGCUCCGGGCUUUCUACCUCGAGAGGAGCCGCUCCGCCGGCACCGGCUCCCUUCCUGUUCACCAGCAACAUUAA